rnacentral:rRNA from 1 species
GACGGGGCCCGCACAAGCGGUGGAGUAUGUGGUUUAAUUCGAUGCAACGCGAAGAACCUUACCUGGUCUUGACAUCCCGGAGACCCUUAGGAAACUAGGGGGUGCUUCCAUCUGGAAGAAUCUGGAGACAGGUGCUGCAUGGCUGUCGUCAGCUCGUGUCGUGAGAUGUUGGGUUAAGUCCCGCAACGAGCGCAACCCUUGCCUUUAGUUGCCAGCAGUUCGGCUGGGCACUCUAAAGGGACUGCCGGUGUUAAACCGGAGGAAGGUGGGGAUGACGUCAAGUCCUCAUGGCCUUUAUGACCAGGGCUACACACGUACUACAAUGGCCGAUACAAAGGGCAGCGACACUGCGAGGUGAAGCCAAUCCCGUAAAAUCGGUCUCAGUCCGGAUUGGAGUCUGCAACUCGACUCCAUGAAGCUGGAAUCGCUAGUAAUCGUGGAUCAGCAUGCCACGGUGAAUACGUUCCCGGGCCUU